rnacentral:rRNA from 1 species
GUGCCAGACUCCUACGGGAGGCAGCAGUGGGGAAUAUUGGGCAAUGGGCGCAGGCCUGACCCAGCAACGCCGCGUGAAGGAAGAAGGCUUUCGGGUUGUAAACUUCUUUUCUCGGGGACGAAGAAAGUGACGGUACCUGAGGAAUAAGCCACGGCUAACUACGUGCCAGCAGCCGCGGUAAUACGUAGGGGGCGAGCGUUAUCCGGAAUUACUGGGUGUAAAGGGAGCGUAGACGGCGAGGUAAGCCUGAAGUGGAAGCCCGCGGCCCAACCGCGGAACUGCUUUGGGAACUGUUUUGCUGGAGUAUGGGAGGGGUAAGCGGAAUUCCUGGUGUAGCGGUGAAAUGCGUAGAUAUCAGGAGGAACACCGGCGGCGAAGGCGGCCUGCUGGACCGUGACUGACGUUGAGGCUCGAGAGCGUGGGGAGCAAACAGGAUUAGAUACCCGCGUAC